ACACUGGGCUCUAUGAAGUUUCUUACCGCAGCAAAGAAAAGACAUCAUAAGAAUUGCGAACACAGUUCUGAUCCACCUGAAGAAGAAUAUUCUUCUGAGCAUUUGAAUAA